rnacentral:rRNA from 1 species
CUGCUGCCUCCCGUAGGAGUCUGGCCGUGUCUCAGUACCAGUGUGGGGGACCUUCCUCUCAGAACCCCUACGCAUCGUCGCCUCGGUGGGCCGUUACCCCGCCGACUAGCUAAUGCGACGCAUGGCCAUCCUAUGCCGGAGUCGCCUCCUUUGACCCCCUGGAGAUGUCUCCAAAUGGUGUUAUGCGGUAUUAGACGGAAUUUCUUCCGCUUAUCCCCCUGCAUAGGGCAGGUUCCAUACGUGUUACUCACCCGUGCG